rnacentral:rRNA from 1 species
CGUACACACCGCCCGUCACACCAUGGGAGUUGAUUGCACCAGAAGUAGGUAGCCUAACCGCAAGGGGGGCGCUUACCACGGUGUGGUCAAUGACUGGGGUG